AUCACUUCUCGGCCUUUUGGCUAAGAUCAAGUGUAGAAACUCAAGUCUUUCCUUGAGGAAGAAAGUGAGGCAAGAGAAAGUAGGGAAUCCCUUUAACAGUCUCAAUACAAGUCUGAAAUACAACUUUCUGAACUUGGCAUUUAAGCCCUGUACUGCUUUGGCACCACCUUUCCUAGUUUUAUCUCCCUCCAAUAUCAGUACAGAUUAA
ensembl:snRNA U2 U2 spliceosomal RNA